UCUCACCUACGGGGGGCAGCAGUAGGGAAUUUUCGUCAAUGGGCGCAAGCCUGAACGAGCAAUGCCGCGUGAACGAGGAAGGUCUUCGGAUCGUAAAGUUCUGUUGAAGGGGAAAAAGAGCGGAGAGAGGAAAUGAACUCCGAUUGAUAUUACCCUUCGAGGAAGUCACGGCUAACUACGUGCCAGCAGCCGCGGAAAUAGGAAGGUGGCGAGAGUUAUCCGGAAUGAUUGGGCG
rnacentral:rRNA from 1 species